rnacentral:rRNA from 1 species
CAGUCGCCGCGGUAAUACGCAGGGUGCGAGCGUUAAUCGGAAUUACUGGGCGUAAAGCGUGCGCAGGCGGUUAUAUAAGACAGAUGUGAAAUCCCCUGGCUCAACCUGGGACCUGCAUUUGUGACUGUAUUGCUUGAGUUCGGGAGAGGUGAGUGGAAUUCCCAGUGUAGAGGUGAAAUUCGUAGAUAUUGGGAAGAGCACCGGUGGCGAAGGCGGCUCACUGGACCGACACUGACGCUGAGGCGCGAAAGCGUGGGGAGCAAACAGGAUUAGAGACCCCCGUAGUCCCUGUCUCUUAUAC